CAUGUCUUGAGGUUGAGCACAAUUAAUCGCGGAUACAAAUAGCAAAUCACGGCGGAGGAGGUGGUCCUAACCUCGGCCCGUGAGUACCUUGGCGACUUGUGGCGGCGGCGGUGGGGCCGGAGGCACAUCCCGCUUCCAUCGGCUACCUCUGGCAACUUGUGGCGGCGGCGGCGGCUGGCCUAGGCCUCCUCGUUUGAGAUCAGCAAAAUGUGAAUGCGGAAGCCCCUUAGAGAGAGAAGAGAAGGGCUUUUCUUCCACACGUUGUGAGAAAAUGGCUUCUUGCAUGAACAAGAUGAAAAGGAUUAAGAGAUAGGUUGCUUUCAUUUGAUUUUUGGGAGAUGAUAUACAUAUGUUGGAUGUGUAGAAUAUGAAAAUGUUGAAGAGAUAAGAACUAUUAUUGCCUUGUA